rnacentral:rRNA from 1 species
GAGGGGCAGCGGGGGAGUAGCAAUACUCCCGCCGGCGACCAGCGCACGGGUGAGUAACACGUAUGAAACCUGCCCGUAGCAGGGGGAUAAGCGGAAGAAAUUCCGUCUAAUACCGCGUAACAACCCUUGGAGGCAUCUCCUCGGGUUUAAAGGGAGCGAUUCCGGCUACGGAUGGUCAUGCGUCGCAUUAGCUUGUUGGCGGGGUAACGGCCCACCAAGGCGACGAUGCGUAGGGGUUCUGAGAGGAAGGUCCCCCCACACUGGUACUGAGACACGGACCAGACUCCUACGGGAGGCAGCAGUGAGGAAUAUUGGUCAAUGGCCGCAGGGCUGAACCAGCCAAGUCGCGUGAGGGAUGACGGUCCUAUGGAUUGUAAACCUCUUUUGUCAGGGAGCAAAGGGCGCCACGUGUGGCGUUUUGCGAGUACCUGAAAAAAAAGCAUCGGCUAACUCCGUGCCACCCGCCGCGGUAAUACGGAGGAUGCGAGCAUUAUCUGGAUAAAAAGAGUUUAAAGGGUGCGCAGGCGGAAUGUCAAGUCAGCGGUAAAAUUUCCGGGCUCAACCCCGUGAUGCCGUUGAAACUGGCGUUCUUGAGUGAGCGAGAAGU